rnacentral:sRNA from 1 species
UCAUGAACAACGCAAAUAAUCAACAUUCUUCUCAAAAAGCGUUCCUACGAGGUUUACUUCUAGUUGCCUAUGAAGUACGGAAAUCGUCAUAGAGAAUGGAGAUCAAAUGUGACUUCGGUUGCAUGGUGUCGAUCUUGGGUGCAGUGUCUUCCUCUUGCUAAGUGGAAGGGAUUGCAAUGAUUGACUCCACAU